UGAGGAAUAUUGGUCAAUGGGCGAGAGCCUGAACCAGCCAAGUAGCGUGCAGGAUGACGGCCCUAUGGGUUGUAAACUGCUUUUAUGCGGGGAUAAAGUGAGGCACGUGUGCCUUUUUGUAUGUACCGCAUGAAUAAGGACCGGCUAAUUCCGUG
rnacentral:rRNA from 1 species